rnacentral:rRNA from 1 species
UACGUAGGGUGCAGGCGUUAAUCGGAAUUACUGGGCGUAAAGCGUGCGCAGGCGGUUUGCUAAGACAGAUGUGAAAUCCCCGGGCUUAACCUGGGAACUGCAUUUGUGACUGGCAAGCUAGAGUAUGGCAGAGGGGGGUAGAAUUCCACGUGUAGCAGUGAAAUGCGUAGAGAUGUGGAGGAAUACCGAUGGCGAAGGCAGCCCCCUGGGCCAAUACUGACGCUCAUGCACGAAAGCGUGGGGAGCAAACAGG